UACGAAGGGGGCUAGCGUUGCUCGGAAUUACUGGGCGUAAAGCGCACGUAGGCGGCUUUCUAAGUCGGGGGUGAAAUCCUGGAGCUCAACUCCAGAACUGCCUUCGAUACUGGAGAGCUUGAGUCCGGGAGAGGUGAGUGGAACUGCGAGUGUAGAGGUGAAAUUCGUAGAUAUUCGGAAGAACACCAGUGGCGAAGGCGGCUCACUGGCCCGGUACUGACGCUGAGGUGCGAAAGCGUGGGGAGCAAACAGG
rnacentral:rRNA from 1 species